rfam:Triticum aestivum genome assembly, contig: Triticum_aestivum_CS42_TGACv1_scaffold_130584_2BL
CAAAUACUCCCUCCGUCCAGAAAUACUUGUCAUCAAAAUGAAUAAAAGAGGAUGUAUCUAGAUGUAUUUUAGUUUUAAAUACAUUUAUUUUUAUCUAUUUUAAUGACAAAUAUUUUUGAUCGGAGAGAGUACAAG